UACGUAGGUGGCGAGCGUUGUCCGGAUUUACUGGGCGUAAAGGGAGCGUAGGCGGACUUUUAAGUGAGAUGUGAAAUACUCGGGCUCAACUUGAGUGCUGCAUUUCAAACUGGAAGUCUAGAGUGCCGGAGAGGAGAAUGGAAUUCCUAGUGUAGCGGUGAAAUGCGUAGAGAUUAGGAAGAACACCAGUGGCGAAGGCGAUUCUAUGGACUGUAACUGACGCUGAGGCUCGAAAGCGUGGGGAGCAAACAGG
rnacentral:rRNA from 1 species